GAUGAACGCUGGCGGCGUGCCUAACACAUGCAAGUCGAACGAAGCUUGACGGAUGAUUUCUUCGGAAUGAAACCAGAUAUGACUUAGUGGCGGACGGGUGAGUAACACGUGAGCAACCUGCCUUUCAGAGGGGGAUAACGGCUGGAAACGGUCGCUAAUACCGCAUGAUGUGUUCGGAUGGCAUCAUCUGAACAUCAAAGAUUUAUCGCUGAAAGAUGGGCUCGCGUCUGAUUAGAUAGUUGGUGGGGUAACGGCCUACCAAGUCUACGAUCAGUAGCCGGACUGAGGGGUCGAACGGCCACAUCGGGACUGAGAUUCGGCGCAGACUACUACGGGAGGCAGCAGUGGGGAAUAUUGCACAAUUGGGGAAACCCUGAGGCAGCAACGCCGCGUGAAGCAUGACGGUUUUCGGAUUGUAAACGUCUUUCCUUAGUGACGCAGACAGUGACGGUAGCUAAGGAAUAAGCAUCGGCUAACUACGUG
rnacentral:rRNA from 1 species